UCCCCCCCCGCCCCGUGUGAGCCCUGGUGUCUGGCUGCGGGGAGACACGGAGGCCGCCGUGUGAGGUCGCCCGGGCAGGGGGGCCCAGGGAGGGGUCCCCGUGCCGGGCAGGCCCGAGGCAGGGCCCCGGCUGUCAGACCACGGCCCAAGUUUGCCACACGGAGCAUCUGCUGGGGAAGGUGGGGAGACGCCAAGAGCCUUCUCUGGGAGACUGACCCAGAUUUCUCUCCCUCUCUCAGCCACACACACACACACGUGCACGCCCAGGCAGGCAGGACACAUGCAGACUGUGCGCAUAAGAGGAGCCAAGAGCCAUGUCUCCUGGUCCUGUGGCCUGAGCGUGUCCCCUGGGCAGGGCCUGGAAGGCUCUUGAGCGCUGCCGUCCUCCGCGGGCCCGUCCGGGUGCUCAGAUCCCCUUGCACAGCUGUUAACCCGGUGGCACGGGAAGGGCUGGACACCCCUGAGCUCGUGCAGCAAGUCCAGGUCCUGACAAACGCCUUCUCACGCCACCUGGGGGCCCCCCCAUGAUCCCCAAUUGCAGACACCCCCUCUCUUCCGACCUGCUUGGAGCAGGACAGAAGCAAACAGAGACGAAGAGACAGAGGAGCAAGAAAGGCAAGGAGGGGAGAGGCCCAGGAGGAGCGGGUGCGGGGACGCCCGGCACCCCCGCUCCCCCCUGCGGCCGCGCAGCCGCCUGGAGAGGAGUGCAGGGAGGCGGGGGUUAACUCUCCGCCGCGGAGCAGAAAAUGAGGUUCCAGUUAUUAGUUGAUUUAUUGCUCUGUCCUCAAUCUGCGCUCGGGUCCUGGAAGGAAAUGUUCCACUCGAAAGCAUUAAGCGUCUUCAAAGAGCAGAGGCAUUAAAAAUUGAAAUCAUAAAACAGACACGUAAAUACAGUGGAGGCGGGAGGGGGGGACCCUGGGCGGGCCGAGGUGGGAGUGGCAGGCAGGUCCCCUCCCGAGGCGAGGGGGGUGCCCCCAGCGUCACUCCCAGUAGGUCACGGCGUCUGAGGGGUCAGACCGGCCCUGUCUGGCCCUCCUGGGAGACGGCCACAGCCCAGCCCUGGGCCGGUC
rnacentral:lncRNA from 1 species